UUUUGGCCAAAAGUGCUUUUGGCAAAAAAAAAAAAGCACUUUUGGCCAAAAAGAAGCUUGGCCAAACAUGCUAUUAAUUAGGUUUUCUAAAUGACUUCCUCUGUAUUUUCUCUUUCUUGCUGGUUGUUCAUUCUCUGAGUUGCAAAAUGUUGAGUCCUUUAUCUUGUAGUAUUGCAGGUAAAUGCAAUUAUUACUUAAUAAUUCUUGAAGUAUUGCAGGAAACUCUUAUUUUUUUCUGAAUGUUGUUAAUGGUGCUCUUGAGGCGUGUUUAAGACCUAAAGCUAGUUGCAGCGCAGGUGUGUGCUGGCUUUAGUGGAGUUUUAGUACAGGCAUCAUGAUGCUCAAGCGUGUGUCUUAUCAUUGGCUCAAACUUGAGGGUGUAACACUGAAUAUUCAAUGUGACUGGCAAAAUGAUUUAAUAAUUGUUUAGGAAAUCUUAAGAAUACGUCAGUGAUUAAGAACAGGAUGUUAAAAACUUUCUAUGAAAAACCUCUUUUUAAACAAGUUAUAAGAAAAGUAGUCAGUGAAUUUGAAAACAAAAUAAAAAAUGGCAUUUACAUCUGUAUUAUAAAUAUAAAGUACUCUUUGCACUUGGGGAAGGUGGAGUUGGAAAAUCCACCAGAAGCACUCACUUAAGGAUUCAUGCCUGCAUCAUCUGGACAAUUUGGAAGGACAGACAUCAGCACUGCUUUGAUGGGAUUCAACUCGCUACCACAAAUUAAAAGCUAGAUGUUUGACUAACAUUUCUGCUUGAUGUAUUCUGAGUAAGCUGCAGUGAAGGCCUUUUGUUUUCUGCAUCAUGGGGACUUGGAGAAACAUGCUGAUAGACGUUGGUGGAUGAUGGCAACGACAUUCUUUAAGGUGAUUAUACACAGCAUAAUCUAGCAAUCAUAUAUGCUAGUUUUUAUCAUGCAUAAAUGCAAGAGGUUAUCGGAGAGGAAAAAAAGAUGACAGUUCAAAUGUGUGUGAUCUCCCCUGCUAUUCUGGCUAUUCAGAGCCUCCCUGUAAAACGCACAAAACAUGACUGGAUUAAUACAGGGCCAAUGAUGUUCUAAAUGCUAGUAACAUGGCCAUUAAGAAGAUCUGGUUGAUGAUCCCUGCAGUUAUUUUUUGGUGUUUGUGGAAUGAAAGGAAUAGUAGAUGGUUUGAUGGGAUCUCAACUCAAAUCACUCUCUCAAAGCUAGAUGCCUGCUCAAUCUUUUUUGUUAGACUAAGAUAGCUACUGCAAUUAGUUCUGAUCAACUUUUGGACUGUUAGUUCCCUUGUCUUAGAUUGACAUACUGUAAAGGGACUAGUUUUUUCUUUUAUUUUCGCAUCUGAUCUUUUGUAACUAUGCAUCUUCUUGAUGCUUUUGAUAAUAACAUCUUACUUGAUAAAAAAAAAAAAAAGCUGUCGGUUUUAAUCUAUGGCC